rnacentral:lncRNA from 1 species
UGGAUCAUAAGUCAUCCUACUUUGUCAGCAUUAUGUUUCUCUUUGUUAUGCGGUGGCUGCAUUUUGGUUUGGUUUGGUUUGUUGGGCACGGAGGAGGUGCUCCAUUCACUGGUAAUUUGGAGCUUGUAUAUAGUUGUAACGUUGUAGUAAGUGUCCUGCUUUGUAAACAUAGCUUGCUACUAUACCUACUAUAGCUUGCCACUCUGCUGUUUGAAAUUUGAAUAUGGACAUGCAUCCUGUCACAAAUAUAGUUGUUGACUUAAUAUAAGUACGGACCGAACAAGCAGACAGAAAUUAAUUUCUCGGUAUGUAUUUACAAACAUAGUUGGCAAUGUGUCCGACAACGUGGUCAGGAGAUCCAGAAGUAGUGAAUUACACAUCGAUGGCAGCACGCAUAGAUGUAUCUUUGUAAAUUG